AAUGUCAAAGGAAUGUUCAUAACACAGGCAAGCACCUAAAGGAACAGUAUCUAUUUCAAUAUCAACAAGUUAGCACGCUUUAUUAGCUGACCACAAUGACAUAGCAUUGCACUACAGGAAAUGCGGCACUUCAACUCAAGGAAAUUUACAUCAUAAAAAGAACUGGUGUGCAGGAAAGGCAGACCCAGGUUGCUCAAACUCCAAACAUUCCCAAGAAAAGCAUGUCUUCAGGACUGGCCCUUGGCUGGCUCCUAGGAAAUGAACUCUGAACCCUAGGAAUAUUAUGCCUGUAAACACUCCACAAUGCCAGGAAGAAUUUCCUAUAAUGGCUGUGCCACUACUCUGCUUGAAAAUCGUCACUGACUUCGCCUCAUCUGUGAAGAGUCCAUCCUUCCCACCAUGACAUACAAAAGCCUGAGUGAUCUGGUUCCAGCCCAUUCCUGUUACUGCUUGCCUUCCUUGUUUCACUGAAUUGGUAUGUCUGACCUAAUGAAGACUUUUUAGAUUAUUUAGAAACUACUACGUUUUCUGCAG
rnacentral:lncRNA from 1 species